rnacentral:tRNA from 1 species
GCCGUCGUAGCUCAGUAGGUAGAGCAUCGCAUUCGUAGCGCGUAGGUUGAGGGUUCGAUUCCCUUCGACGGCACCA